AGAUAAAAAGAGCCCGGAACGAUUCCUGGUUCCGGGCUUAGGGGAAUGGCUCGUAAGAGCCUUGCGCUAACUGGUUUAAAUGGAGAUUUGUAACACUUCAAACUUUAGUUGGCACAAGGUGGUGAGCGCGUUU
rnacentral:sRNA from 1 species